CCUACGGGUGGCUGCAGUGGGGAAUAUUGCACAAUGGGCGCAAACCUGAUGCAGCCAUGCCGCGUGUGUGAAGAAGGCCUUCGGGUUGUAAGGCACUUUCAGCGGGGAGGAAGGCGGUGAGGUUAAUAACCUCAUCGAUUGACGUUACCCGCAGAAGAAGCACCGGCUAACUCCGUGCCAGCAGCCGCGGUAAUACGGAGGGUGCAAGGGUUAAUCGGAAUUACUGGGCGUAAAGCGCACGCAGGCGGUCUGUCAAGUCGGAUGUGAAAUCCCCGGGCUCAACCUGGGAACUGCAUUCGAAACUGGCAGGCUAGAGUCUUGUAGAGGGGGGUAGAAUUCCAGGUGUAGCGGUGAAAUGCGUAGAGAUCUGGAGGAAUACCGGUGGCGAAGGCGGCCCCCGGGACAAAGACUGACGCUCAGGUGCGAAAGCGUGGGGAGCAAACAGGAUUAGAUACCCGUGUAGUC
rnacentral:rRNA from 1 species